GACGAACGCUGGCGGCGUGCCUAAUACAUGCAAGUAGAACGCACAGUUUAUACCGUAGCUUGCUACACCAUAGACUGUGAGUUGCGAGCGGGUGAGUAACGCGUAGGUAACCUGCCUGGUAGCGGGGGAUAACUAUUGGAAACGAUAGCUAAUACCGCAUAAUAUUAAUUAUUGCAUGAUAAUUAAUUGAAAGGUGCAAUUGCACCACUACCAGAUGGACCUGCGUUGUAUUAGCUAGUAGGUGAGGUAACGGCUCACCUAGGCGACGAUACAUAGCCGACCUGAGAGGGUGAUCGGCCACACUGGGACUGAGACACGGCCCAGACUCCUACGGGAGGCAGCAGUAGGGAAUCUUCGGCAAUGGACGAAAGUCUGACCGAGCAACGCCGCGUGAGUGAAGAAGGUUUUCGGAUCGUAAAGCUCUGUUGUAAGAGAAGAACGGGUGUGAGAGUGGAAAGUUCACACUGUGACGGUAUCUUACCAGAAAGGGACGGCUAACUACGUG
rnacentral:rRNA from 1 species